rnacentral:lncRNA from 1 species
CUGCGGGCGGGCUCGACGUACCCUACCGCGGGGUGGUGCUCUGACUGCGGCAACCGUUGAAGGGCUGCCCCCGGGGAGGCAGCGAGGCCCCUCUGGUCCCUUAAACAUCUUCUCAAGUGUUUUCUACGCUAAGAGGAAUGGCUGCACCACUUUCCUGAGCUAUGGCAGUCAGACCUGGUAGCAGUAACUUCUCUACAGAACCCCCAAACCUGGCAAGAAUGGUUCAGAUUUUGGCAGAUUAUGGCUUCCUCCCCACCCAGAACUGAUGAUAUCAGCAGAGCAACUUUCAUUGUUAGAGAGAGGAGAGAGAGAGAAGCCUUGUUGGUUGACGUCACUUGGUUCAUGAAGCCUUCGCCUAGAAGUGAAGCUGCUGAACAAACCUUGAGAAGAAUCAUCUCCUGCUUCAAUCUGCUGCUGGAUAGGAACUAAUCAGAGAGAGGCGGAAGGCGGAGAAGGAGGGAGUCAAGGGCUUUCGCGAUCACAAAUCUCACCUCCACUCCAACUCUCUUUAUACUUUCCUUGCAAAAAUAAUAAUCGAGACAAGGAGGUGGUAGGGCUUCCAAAAACAAAAAUCGUAACCUUCAGCCAUCUGGGGAAGGCAAAAAUCUCAUCCACCGCAACUCUCAGUUCGAAA